rnacentral:rRNA from 1 species
CGAAAGCCUGACGGAGCAACGCCGCGUGUGGGAAGAAGGCUUUUGGGCUGUCAACCACUUUUCUCAAGGAAGAAGUUCUGACGGUACUUGAGGAAUCAGCCUCGGCUAACUCCGUGCCAGCAGCCGCGGUAAUACGGAGGAGGCAAGCGUUAUCCGGAAUUAUUGGGCGUAAAGCGUCCGCAGGGGGCGCAUCAAGUCUGCUGUUAAAGGUCGGAGCUUAACUCCGGUGAGGCAGUGGAAACUGGUGCGCUAGAGGGCGACAGGGGUAGAGGGAAUUCCCAGUGUAGCGGUGAAAUGCGUAGAUAUUGGGAAGAACACCAGUGGCGAAAGCGCUCGACUGGGCCUGCACUGACACUGAGGGACGAAAGCUAGGGGAGCG